rnacentral:misc_RNA from 1 species
AGCAGCCGCGGUAAUUCCAGCUCCAAUAGCGUAUAUUAAAGUUGUUGCAGUUAAAAAGCUCGUAGUUGAAUUUCGGGAUCAAUUAGUCGGUCGUGCCUCUGGUACGUACUGGUUCUAUUGGUUCCUCCCUUCUGACGAAACAUGAUGUCAUUAAUUUGGUGUCGUGGAGAAUCAGGGCUGUUACCUUGAAAAAAUUAGAGUGUUUAUAGCAGGCUAACGCUUGAAUACAUUAGCAUGGAAUAAUGAAAUAGGACGUUCGACCCUAUUUUGUUGGUUUCUAGGAUCGACGUAAUGAUUAAUAGGGAUAGUUGGGGGCAUUAGUAUUCAAUUGUCAGAGGUGAAAUUCUUGGAUUUAUUGAAGACUAACUACUGCGAAAGCAUUUGCCAAGGAUGUUUUCAUUAAUCAAGAACGAAAGUUAGGGGAUCGAAGACGAUCAGAUACCGUCGUAGUCUUAACCAUAAACUAUGCCGACUAGGGAUCGGAUGAUGUUAAUUUUUUAAUGACUCAUUCGGCGCCUUA